rnacentral:rRNA from 1 species
UGGGGAAUUUUGGACAAUGGGCGAAAGCCUGAUCCAGCAAUGCCGCGUGUGUGAAGAAGGCCUUCGGGUUGUAAAGCACUUUUGUCCGGAAAGAAAUCCUUGGCUCUAAUACAGUCGGGGGGAUGACGGUACCGGAAGAAUAAGCACCGGCUAACUACGUGCCAGCAGCCGCGGUAAUACGUAGGGUGCAAGCGUUAAUCGGAAUUACUGGGCGUAAAGCGUGCGCAGGCGGUUUGCUAAGACCGAUGUGAAAUCCCCGGGCUCAACCUGGGAACUGCAUUGGUGACUGGCAGGCUAGAGUAUGGCAGAGGGGGGUAGAAUUCCACGUGUAGCAGUGAAAUGCGUAGAGAUGUGGAGGAAUACCGAUGGCGAAGGCAGCCCCCCUGGGCCAAUACUGACGCUCAUGCACGAAAGCGUGGGGAGCAAACAGGAUUAGAUACCCUGGUAGUCCACGCCCUAAACGAUGUCAACUAGUUGUUGGGGAUUCAUUUCCUUAGUAACGUAGCUAACGCGUGAAGUUGACCGCCU